rnacentral:rRNA from 1 species
UUGAAAGGGAAACGAUUGAAGUCAGUCGUACCAGCGGGAAAUCAACCUUUCGAGUGGUGUUUUGGAGUUUUGAAGUGUGUCAAAACCUUUGAGAUUUUAAAAUUUUCGCUCUUUUGGUGUACUUUCUCGUGGGUAGGUUAACAUCGAUUUUGAUCAUCAUAAAAAGACUGGAGGAAUGUAGCUUCGAUCUUGUAUUGAAGUGUUAUAGCCUUUGGUAAAUGUGAUGAUUAGGAUCGAGGAUUGCAACGAAUACCUUCUGGGCUAUCCGCCUGAUCUCUGAUACGUGGCCUUGGCAUCGAAAGCUUGCUUAUGGUAUCAAGGUAUUACGGUCAAAAGGUUAGAACGGAUUACAUUCGUUAAGGAUGUUGACGUA